UGAUUAGAUACCCUUGUAGUCCACGCCGUAAACGAUGUCUACUUGGAGGUUGUGGCCUUGAGCCGUGGCUUUCGGAGCUAACGCGUUAAGUAGACCGCCUGGGGAGUACGGUCGCAAGAUUAAAACUCAAAUGAAUUGACGGGGGCCCGCACAAGCGGUGGAGCAUGUGGUUUAAUUCGAUGCAACGCGAAGAACCUUACCUACUCUUGACAUCCAGAGAAGCCAGCGGAGACGCAGGUGUGCCUUCGGGARCUCUGAGACAGGUGCUGCAUGGCUGUCGUCAGCUCGUGUCGUGAGAUGUUGGGUUAAGUAA
rnacentral:rRNA from 1 species